rnacentral:misc_RNA from 1 species
AAAGUCGUAACAAGGUGCCUCACGGAAGCCUUGCACGCCGAGUCUGCCUUCGGGCAGGCGACACCCGCCUGUAGCUGGAAGGUUCCCCCGGGUCUCCGGGGGCAACGAUCAGCUGCUGCACGCCCGGGGCGUGCAGUCCACAGAUCAAACGUGGGUGGCCUGCGCCCGCAGGUUGAGAUAUGACCGUAGCAGCUCCGCCAGGAGUCUGGUAUGCUAGUUCCGUAGGUGAACCUGCGGAAGGAUCAUUACCUAGAGUUUGUGGGCUUUGCCCGCUACCUCUUACCCAUGUCUUUUGAGUACUUACGUUUCCUCGGCGGGUUCGCCCGCCGACUGGACAAAAUUAAACCCUUUGUAAUUGAAAUCAGCGUCUGAAAAACAUAAUAGUUACAACUUUCAACAACGGAUCUCUUGGUUCUG